rnacentral:rRNA from 1 species
AUUGAACGCUGGCGGCAGGCUUAACACAUGCACGUCGAACGAGCGGCGGACGGGUGCGUAAUGUCUGGGAAACUGCCUGAUGGAGGGGGAUAACUACUGGAAACGGUAGCUAAUCCCGCAUACCAUCAGAUGUUCCCAGAUGGGAUUAGCUUGUAGGUGGGGUAAUGGCUCACCUAGGCGACGCUCCCUAGCUGGUCUGAGAGGAUGACCAGCGACACGGGAAUUGAGACACGGACCAGACUCCGACGGGAGGCAGCAGUGGGGAAUAUUGUACAAUGGGCGCAAGCCUGAUGCAGCCAUGCCGCGUGUAUGAAGAAGGCCUUCGGGUUGUAAAGCACUUGCAGCGGGGAGGCGUUACCCGCAGAAGAAGCACCGGCUAACUCCGUGCCAGCAGCCGCGGUAAUAC